rnacentral:rRNA from 1 species
GAUGAACGCUAGCGGCAGCCCUAAUACAUGCAAGUCGAACGGGAUUAAGAGGCUUGCUUCUUAUGAGAGUGGCGCACGGGUGCGUAACACGUAUGCAACCUACCUUCAACUGGGGGAUAGCCUUCCGAAAGGGAGAUUAAUACCGCAUAAUAUAAUUGAGUGGCAUCACUUGAUUAUCAAACGUCAGGGUUGAAGAUGGGCAUGCGUCCGAUUAGUUUGUUGGUGAGGUAACGGCUCACCAAGACUACGAUCGGUAGGGGAUCUGAGAGGAUGGCCCCCCACACUGGUACUGAGACACGGACCAGACUCCUACGGGAGGCAGCAGUAAGGAAUAUUGGUCAAUGGACGGAAGUCUGAACCAGCCAUGCCGCGUGCAGGAAGACGGUCCUCUGGAUUGUAAACUGCUUUUGUUAGGGAAGAAACUUCCGUACGUGUACGGGACUGACGGUACCUAAAGAAUAAGGAUCGGCUAACUCCGUGCCAGCAGCCGCCGUAACAC